UGAUCACCAUCUCCAUAAGGAAACAUAUUAACUAUUCAUAAGUAACUCAUCCAACCCCACUUCAAAAUCACUGAACUAUCCCUUUAAAUAACCAGUGUGUCGACAUUAGUGGCAUCUAGCGGCGAAGGUGUAGAUUUCAAUCAAGUGGAAAACCUUCCCCCAGAGAGGGCUCCGAACAACUCCGUUCACUCUAAUGAACCUUUUUUUUUCUUGCAAUGGCGGAUCAUGGAGCCUCUGAAUAGUUCCCGGAAGUGAGCAGCAGCACAUCGCAGCACAUUAGAGGAGCAGCAGAAUGGAUCAAUGGACCGACUGUGUUGCACUUAUGAACGGCUGUUCUUGGUCAGUCCCAUUUGGCCGACAUGCUGAGGUCUAUGGUCGUGUCAGUGUUGACCCUGGACGGGACGGAAAGCCAAAGAGUCCAAAAUGGUUUUCUAGCCAUUAUAGCUGUGUCCCAAUUCAGGGGCCGCAUCCUUCGGAGGCUGCAUUUCAAGACAGACAGCAUCACAGCUUUGCGACUCCCAUUUUGAAAACUCCUUCAGAUGCAGCCAACAUGACGUGGGAUCCAACAGAUAACAUUAUAAUCGUAAGACAACGGAUAUGUGGCAUGAUGAAAUACCACAGUGCAAUAAGAAUACUAAGCUGCUUCAGACAUGCACUGAAGUCUGGACCUUUUGCUGACAUUUUCCAGAGGGGCUGUAUUUGAGAAUGCAAAUAAAUGCAAAACAAUUUGAA